AUACCUCCAUAUACACUGAUGAGAACAUGAUUGGGAUCUUAUCUUCUGCAAUAUAAACAACCACUCAGAAAACACAACAUGAUCAUCAUAUUCCUCAUCAUAACCGUUAACACUAUUCUGGUCUCAGGUUCCUCUCUCAGUGACCAAGUUCACCAGACUCCAGCUGACAUGUACAAGAAGCCAGGAGAAACAGCCCAAGUCAACUGUUCACACAAUAUUCAGAACUAUUAUACAAUCCUCUGGUACAGACAGUCAGAGAAUCAACAAAUGCAGCUCCUGGGAUACAUAUCUUAUGCGAAGGGAUAUCCAGAGCCUGGAGUGACUGUCCAGAUGGGUGGGAGUGCAAAUCAAGGCGAGAUCAGCACAUUAACAACUGAGGGACUCAGCCUGAACAGCAGUGCAGUGUACUUCUGUGCUGCUAGUUACCACAGUGCUGCGUAUCGCUGCUCCUCAGUACAAAAACCUCCCAUCACACAUUUUUCCAUCUCUGUAUUACAGCUCACAGCCCCUUGCACCUGGAUCAACCCAUUCUAACCA